AUUGAACGCUGGCGGCAGGCCUAACACAUGCAAGUCGAACGAGUGGCGGACGGGUGAGUAAUGUCUGGGAAACUGCCUGAUGGAGGGGGAUAACUACUGGCAACGGUCGCUCAUACCGCAUACCAUCAGAUGUGCCCCGAUGGGAUUAGCUAGUCGGUGGGGUAACGGCUCACCUAGGCGACGAUCCCUAGCUGGUCUGAGAGGAUGACCAGCAACACUGGAACUGAGACACGGUCCAGACUCCUACGGGAGGCAGCAGUGGGGAAUAUUGCACAAUGGGCGAAAGCCUGAUGCAGCCAUGCCGCGUGUGUGAAGAAGGCCUUCGGGUUGUAAAGCACUUUCAGCGGGGAGGCGUUACCCGCAGAAGAAGCACCGGCUAACUCCGUGCCAGCCGCCGCGGUAAUUC
rnacentral:rRNA from 1 species